UUCCGGUUGAUCCUGCCGGACCCGACUGCUAUCAGAGUGGGACUAAGCCAUGCGAGUCAACGUAGCAAUGCGUGGCGAACGGCUCAGUAACACGUAGUCAACAUGCCCAGGGGACGUGGAUAACCUCGGGAAACUGAGAUUAAACCGCGAUAGGUCAAGAUUUCUGGAAUGGAUCCUGGCUUAAAUCUACAUGGCCCCUGGAUUGGACUGCGGCCGAUCAGGCUGUUGGUGAGGUAAUGGCCCACCAAACCUAUAACCGGUACGGGCUCUGAGAGGAGAAGCCCGGAGAUGGGCACUGAGACAAGGGCCCAGGCCCUAUGGGGCGCAGCAGGCGCGAAAACUCUGCAAUGGGCGAAAGCCUGACAGGGUUACUCUGAGUGAUUUCCGCUAAGGAGAUCUUUUGGCAGCUCUAAAAAUGGUGCAGAAUAAGGGGUGGGCAAGUCUGGUGUCAGCCGCCGCGGUAAUACCAGCACCCCGAGUGGUCGGGACGAUUAUUGGGCCUAAAGCAUCCGUAGCCGGUUGUGCAAGUCCUCCGUUAAAUCCAGCCGCUCAACGGAUGGGCUGCGGAGGAUACUACAGGACUAGGAGGCGGGAGAGGCAAGCGGUACUUAGUGGGUAGGGGUAAAAUCCUUUGAUCCAUUGAAGACCACCAGUGGCGAAGGCGGCUUGCCAGAACGCGCUCGACGGUGAGGGAUGAAAGCUGGGGGAGCAAACCGGAUUAGAUACCCGGGUAGUCCCAGCUGUAAACGAUGCAGACUCGGUGAUGGGCUAGCCUCGUGUCAGCCCAGUGCCGCAGGAAGCCGUUAAGUCUGCCGCCUGGGGAGUACGGUCGCAGACUGAAACUUAAAGGAAUGGCGGGGAGCA
rnacentral:rRNA from 1 species